UAUUGAUUAUAUAUUUAUUUUUAAUUCUAAAUACAUAAUGAUUAUUAUAUGAGUAAUUUUGAUACAAUGCUGCAAUGAUUAUGCAUAACAGGUGGAGUGGGGUGGACGCAACCAAGAGGGAGCUGGUUUGACUGUUGGGGAGGAAGUGGAAGCAGUCAAUUCAUUUAUGUCUCGUGCUGCAUUGACAACAAAAUAUAUGACCAAAUCUGCACACACAGAUAUGAUCACUAUCCAUGUUCAUGGAUGGAACCUAAGGAAAAAGUUAAAUCUUCACAAUUAUCUUGCUCAAAGAUAUGUUAAGACAUUACAGAGAACAGCUGAGGUGGCAGGGGAGAUUAAGAUGACCAAAUCCCACCUGAACAAAACAAGUGAAGAUCUUCAGCAGUGAGUCACAGAUGUUCAACUGUGAGCAGCAUCAACUCCGAGUACCAUCAGUUCACAUGAUCCACAGGGGCUGCAGCGUCUAAUGGAAGGCUUGGUCCUCAAAAUCCACCAAAAGAAGUAAAGAGUUGUACAGAGAGACAGGUUUGUGAUUGAGUCAACCUUUUCAUUAAUAGCAUAAUUUGGAUGUAAAAGCUACGUUUUAGAUUUAUU